AUGCUCACUUUGGCAGCACAGACACUAAAACUGGAACAAGACUGAGAAAAUUGGAAAGGUCCCUGCCCAGGGAUGGCGUGAAAAUUGGUGAAGCGUUCCAUAUGUUU
ensembl:snRNA U6 U6 spliceosomal RNA